UACGAAGGGGGCUAGCGUUGUUCGGAUUUACUGGGCGUAAAGCGCACGUAGGCGGAUCUUUAAGUCAGAGGUGAAAUCCCAAGGCUCAACCUUGGAACUGCCUUUGAUACUGAGGAUCUCGAGUCCGGGAGAGGUGAGUGGAACUGCGAGUGUAGAGGUGAAAUUCGUAGAUAUUCGCAAGAACACCAGUGGCGAAGGCGGCUCACUGGCCCGGAACUGACGCUGAGGUGCGAAAGCGUGGGGAGCAAACAGG
rnacentral:rRNA from 1 species